rnacentral:rRNA from 1 species
UACGGGGGGGGCAAGCGUUGUUCGGAAUUACUGGGCGUAAAGCGUGCGCAGGCGGUUUUGUAAGUCUGAUGUGAAAUCCCCGGGCUCAACCUGGGAAUUGCAUUGGAGACUGCAAGGCUAGAAUCUGGCAGAGGGGGGUAGAAUUCCACGUGUAGCAGUGAAAUGCGUAGAGAUGUGGAGGAACACCGAUGGCGAAGGCAGCCCCCUGGGUCAAGAUUGACGCUCAUGCACGAAAGCGUGGGGAGCAAACAGG